UUUAGACCUCAAAUCAGGUGGGACUACCCGCUGAACUUAAG
rnacentral:rRNA from 1 species